rnacentral:rRNA from 1 species
UACGAAGGUCCCAAGCGUUAUCCGGAUUUAUUGGGUUUAAAGGGUGCGUAGGCGGGCUGUUAAGUCAGUGGUGAAAGCUCCAUGCCUAACAUGGAAAAUGCCAUUGAUACUGACGGUCUUGAGUACAUUUGAAGUGGGCGGAAUGUGUCAUGUAGCGGUGAAAUGCUUAGAUAUGACACAGAACACCGAUUGCGUAGGCAGCUCACUAAACUGUAACUGACGCUGAGGCACGAAAGCGUGGGGAGCAAACAGG